AGCAUUAUGGCGCAGCGGAAGCGCGCCGGGCUCAUAACCCGGAGGUCUCUGGAUCGAAACCAGAUAAUGCUA
rfam:Blumeria graminis f. sp. tritici 96224 unplaced genomic scaffold Scaffold-263, whole genome shotgun sequence.